CUUACCAAACCGUUGCAAACUCCGAAUACCCUGAAGUUCAAUCGCGGGAGACACACGGUGGGAGCUAAAUUUCAUCGUGAAAAGGGAAACAACCCAGACCGCCAGCUAAGGUCCCAAAGUCUAUAUUAAGUGGGAAACGAAGUGGGAAGGCUUAGACAGCUAGGAUGUUGGCUUAGAAGCAGCCAUCAUUUAAAGAAAGCGUAAUAGCUCACUAGUCGAGUCGGCCUGCGCGGAAGAUGUAACGGGGCUAAACAUACCACCGAAGCUACGGCUGCAUACAUUAGUAUGCGGGGUAGGGGAGCGUUCUGUAAGCGGAAGAAGGUGCAUUGAGAAGUGUGCUGGACGUAUCAGAAGUGCGAAUGCUGACA
rnacentral:rRNA from 1 species